ensembl:lncRNA
GUCCCAUGAUAUGAACGCUAAGAGCUCAACCAGUCUCUUUACUUUUUAUCAUUACGUUUGUAUUAUCGGUGUGACUAGGUUGAAGCCUCUCUACUGCAGUGAGAAUCCUUUGAAUUGUGAGCAGGUCGGUUGGGAUUUGUAGGACUGUGAAUGCUGAUUUCAGCCAUGUGAUUUCAGAACGUAAUGCGUGGCUAAUGCAGGAAGCCUGGAAAAGAGAGAGGCACAAAGGAAACCUAACAGACAAAAAUCACAUGCGAUGCCAUCUAAAGCUGAUUGACAUGGAGACAAGGACACAACACGUGGAAGCCAGGUGUGCAGUACAGCGGGGCUCCACCACCAACCCAAAAUCCUAACAUGCCCUCAGCGAAGAGCCAUCCUUGCCAUCCAGCAAUACCUGCUUUAGAUGUCCUGAG